UACGUAGGUGGCGAGCGUUGUCCGAAUUUACUGGGCGUAAAGGGCACGCAGGCGGUUCGUUAAGUUCGAGGUGAAAGCUCCCGGCCCAACUGGGAGAGGUCCCCGGAUACUGGCGGACUUGAGGGAGGCAGAGGAAAGUGGAAUUCCCGGUGUAGUGAUGAUAUGCGUAGAUAUCGGGAGGAACACCAGUGGCGAAGGCGGCUUUCUGGGCCUUACCUGACGCUGAGGCGCGAAAGCGUGGGGAGCGAACCGG
rnacentral:rRNA from 1 species